ensembl:lncRNA
AAACUAUUUUGAUCCAAUAAGUUUAUAAUCAAAGUAUACAGGAGGAUAUAACAAGGGUCUGAGAUAUGUGAAUGGGCGGUAAAUAUGUUAAGAGAAGGAGAAGAAGGUAGAGAAAAGGGAGAGGAAGGGGGAGGAGGGGAAAAAAGAUAUUUUUUCCAUAUAAAAUAACAAUUUCCACUCUUUUCUUGUUUGGCCUUUAUUUUUUUUUAUUUUUUUUAUUUUUUUCAGGAUAUAGAUUCCAGGAAAGAUUAUUUGCAAGUUAAUGAGUCUUUCAUCCUGCAAACACACAUACAGGAUAUUAUGAAGCUUUUCCCGCCAACAGUUUUCUGCAGUCAGAGAAGUCUUGAGUACUUACCGCAUGGGAAGAGAGGCUCUAAAACAUUGUGAGGCUACUGCUGCACCACCAUCUGAUAGUGCUGCAGCUGAAAGUAAGAGGUGGUUGGAAAUGAGCAGGAGGAAUGCUGCUUCAACUAGAGCACAGGAGAGAAAGUUGUCCAAGCAAGACCAAAAACUCUCUGCUUCAAAACAAGUGGCCCUUUCACAAGAAGGCCAGCUGGGUUAACCUCGAGGGCAAGUCUGAGCCUGGGCUCUACUUUCAUUAACCUUCCUGCAGACAGGAUGCAGGCUGUACCACAAGUGGUACGUGCUUUCUCAGAGCGCUCCCCACGCAUCCACAAGAGUUAAUCAAAGUACACCACCAAGAAUAAGUCAUUUCAAGAAUUAUCAUCAAUGAACUUGCUUGAACCCAGCCCAGCUGCUGUGUGCAGCUUCAAACAGUUGCUACACUCUCCCUCCCUUGCCUAUCACAACUUUCUGGAAAAUUGUGGAGUAACUGUUACAGCUACAAAGAAAUCUGCCGAAAAGUUGGCACCAAAGCUUUGUCUGAUGUUCAGAGACCUAAGCAACUUUACUGGAUCAAUAAGAAGCACUGAUCCAUUCAGGAAGCCUUUCCUGGACUUCUCCCUUGUGGCAGCUCCAGAGCUUUAACACUCCAGGUGGAGUGGAUCUGGCUCCAGGUAGAGUCUGUCAGUAUUUUCAUCAGAGUAUAUAUCUUUCAUAAACAUGAAAAAGGCAGGUUUAGAAGUACUCAAGAACUCUUAGAAUCAGAUUUCAUUUUAUCACGUUCUUUGCCUAAACCAAUAAAACAAACUUCCCUUAAACUCCUGAUAAUACAUUGGGAAAC